rnacentral:tRNA from 1 species
UAGGCCUUUAGCUCAGUUGGUAGAGCAGCUGCCUUACAAGCAGCGGGUCAUCGGUUCGAAUCCGGUAGGGCCUAU